rnacentral:rRNA from 1 species
AACGAACGCUGGCGGCAGGCUUAACACAUGCAAGUCGAGCGCACCGCAAGGGGAGCGGCAGACGGGUGAGUAACGCGUGGGAAUCUACCCAUCUCUACGGAAUAACGCAUGGAAACGUGUGCUAAAACCGUAUACGUCCUUCUGGAGGAAGAUUUAUCGGAGAUGGAUGAGCCCGCGUUGGAUUAGCUAGUUGGGGGGGUAAAGGCCUACCAAGGCGACGAUCCAUAGCUGGUCUGAGAGGAUGAGCAGCCACACUGGGACUGAGACACGGCCCAGACUCCUACGGGAGGCAGCAGUGGGGAAUACUGGACAAUGGGCGCAAGCCUGAUCCAGCCAUGCCGCGUGAGUGAUGAAGGCCCUAGGGUUGUAAAGCUCUUUCACCGGUGAGGAUAAUGACGGUAACCGGAGAAGAAGCCCCGGCUAACUUCGUGCCAGCAGCCGCGGUAACAC